rnacentral:sRNA from 1 species
GGUCAUCACAUACAAUGGGGCUAUCUAUGCAGUAGGAGGCUUUGAUGGCGUUACCCGCACCAACACUGCAGAGAAAUAUUCACCAUCUGACAGAUUGUGGUCCCCUAUACCAGACAUGUACAACACCAGAAGUAAUUUUGGAAUUGAAGUUAUAGAUGACAUGAUGUUUGUCAUUGGAGGAUUCAACGGAGAGACCACAAUCUAUAAUGUUGAGUGCUAUGACAGCCAGUCCAAUGAGUGGUACAAUGCCACAGACAUGAAUCUUUACAAAAGUGCUUUGAGUGCCUGCGUA